GGGCAUUAAUCACGGAGGGCCUCUUCAUCAACCUUGAUGUCCUUAUGAUGAUGUGUGAGUAUUUCAUUGUGGACCUAUGGGUCCCUAGUCAGUACCUAGAUGGCAAUCUCUCUCUUUGAUAUUCAAUACAAUGAUCAUCGCAUGUUUGCUUUGAUCCAUAUGAUGUAAUACCUUUUGUGCGAUGUGUUUGUUGAGGUCCGAUGAAUUGUGUGGUUAUGUCCAGAUUAUUCAUGAUAAAUAUUUUAGUCACCUCUGAAUACU
rnacentral:lncRNA from 1 species